AUGAUCCUACAGAGAGACGCAGACGUGUUUAUUCUGCUGAGGGUCUCUCACACACACACACACACACACACACACACACACACACACACACUCACACACACACACACACCCACACAUACACUCACACUCUCUCACACACACACCCACACACACACUCACACACUCUCUCUCUCUCACACACACACACACACCCACUCACGCUCACACACACACACUCGCUCACACACACACACUCACACACACACACCCGCUCACACACACACACACACUCGCACACACACACUCUCACGCACACACACACACUCUCGCGCGCACACACACUCUCGCACACACACACACUCUCACACACACUCACAUUCUCAUAAACUCACUCACACAGUCUCUCUCACACACACAUACACCCCCUCACGUACACUCAUACUCUCUCACGCACACACACUUACUGACACACACACACACUCUCUCACACACGCUCACACUCUGUCUCACACACGCUCACACUCUCUCUCACACGCUCACACUCUCUCUCACACGCUCACACUCUCUCUCACACAUGCCCACACGCUCACACUCUCUCUCACACAUGCCCACACGCUCACACUCUCUCUCACACGCUCACACUCUCUCUCACACACACACACUCUCACACACACUCACACUCUCACAAACUCACUCACACAGUCUCUCACACUCUCUCACACUCUCACUCUCACUCGCUCAUACUCCCUUCCACACUCACAUUCCCACACACACACACACACAAACACACACACUCUAACCCACAACCACACAAAAACACCCACACCAACACAAACACACACACACUCACACACACACACACUCACACACACUCACGCGCACACUCACUCUCACACACACACACACACACACACGCUCACACACACACACACACGCACACACACACACUCUCGCGCGCACACACACUCUCGCGCGCACACACACUCUCACACACACUCACAUUCUCACAAACUCACUCACACAGUCUCUCUCACACACACACACACACCCUCACGUACACUCAUACUCUCUCACACACACACACUUACUCACACACACACACACUCUCUCACACACACUCACAGUCUCUCUCACACAAACACAUUCUCUCACGUACACUCAUACUCUCUUACACACUCACACACACACACUUACUCACACACACACUCUCUCACACACACUCACAGUCUCUCCCACACAAACACAUUCUCUCACGUACACUCAUACUCUCUUACACACUCACACACACACACUUACUCACACACACACACUCUCUCUCACACACACUCACAGUCUCUCUCACACAAACACAUUCUCUCACACACUCACACAGGUGUGAAGCAAACUCACCUCCACUGA
rnacentral:lncRNA from 12 species